CGGAGAGGAGGGGCUAAUGUUGUUGCAUAGAUGCACCUCACUCUGCGCACAGAUGCGGAUAUCACCAGAAACGUGCCCGCUCGUCCUGUGUACAAUCUUUCGAGGCUGAGGAGUGUGCAUAGGCGUCUGCCGACGCCAAGCUAACGAAAGGUAAACCUCAAAGCGGCCCCGGCGGCGUUUCUACUCGGGGCUCAUUUUUUGCGCUGCUCUGUUUUCCUGUGUGUGUGUGUGGAGGGAGGGAGGGGGCUGAGACUGCGACGGCCACGUUGUCGGCCUCCCUCCAUUUUGUCAUGCUGUCUUCCCCACCCGCGUGCGCGCUGAGGGUGACAGCCAGAAGCCGUUCCUCCUUCUUUUUCUUGCUGACCUCUCUCAGGGUUUGUGGUGGGGUCCGCUCACCGGGCGCCUCUCGCCGUGCGCGCUACUCUUACCCCGAGGUGCCGAUGCUGUGCCGCUUUUUCUCUUUCUCUCACCGCUUGCACGCUCUCUAGGUGCCCCGCGCGCUGAUUCCUACAUAUCAUUCGAUGCGGACACUGCCUGUGUCGUGCGCGCUCUCCAACCCCUCCCCCCAUACGUAUCUUUGACCAUGCGCGUGCGUGCUGCUCACGUGUGCAUGAAGCUGCACGCACACGCACACGCACGCCUCUCCCUAUACGUUUUCCACCUCAUCUCCAUCAAGUGAUGCACCCAAAGGAAUGCUUGCAUCACCCGCCUCGUUUCCUAUUCUCCCGUUGAACUGUGUCCGUCGUCGUCGCAUCGCCUUUGCCUCCGCUCGCUCUUCUCGCUUCGCCUGUCAG
rnacentral:misc_RNA from 1 species